rnacentral:rRNA from 1 species
GAUGAACGCUAGCUACAGGCUUAACACAUGCAAGUCGAGGGGAAACGGCAUUAAGUGCUUGCACUUUUUGGACGUCGACCGGCGCACGGGUGAGUAACGCGUAUCCAACCUUCCCAUGACUAAGGGAUAACCUGCCGAAAGGCAGACUAAUACCUUAUGGUCUUCACUGACGGCAUCAGAUGUGAAGUAAAGAUUUAUCGGUUAUGGAUGGGGAUGCGUCUGAUUAGUUAGUUGGCGGGGUAACGGCCCACCAAGGCAACGAUCAGUAGGGGUUCUGAGAGGAAGGUCCCCCACAUUGGAACUGAGACACGGUCCAAACUCCUACGGGAGGCAGCAGUGAGGAAUAUUGGUCAAUGGGCGAGAGCCUGAACCAGCCAAGUAGCGUGCAGGACGACGGCCCUAUGGGUUGUAAACUGCUUUUGUAUGGGGAUAAAGUCAAUCACGUGUGAUUGUUUGCAGGUACCAUACGAAUAAGGACCGGCUAAUUCCGUGCCAGCAGCCGCGGUAAUACGGAAGGUCCGGGCGUUAUCCGGAUUUAUUGGGUUUAAAGGGAGCGUAGGCUGGAGAUUAAGUGUGUUGUGAAAUGUAGACGCUCAACGUCUGACUUGCAGCGCAUACUGGUUUCCUUGAGUACGCACAACGUUGGCGGAAUUCGUCGUGUAGCGGUGAAAUGCUUAGAUAUGACGAAGAACUCCGAUUGCGAAGGCAGCUGACGGGAGCGCAACUGACGCUGAAGCUCGAAGGUGCGGGUAUCGAACGGG